GGGGGUGUAAAGGUUUCGACGGGGGUGUGGAAACCGGAUAAGCGAGCCGUAGUUGCCAGGUCUACGUUAAAAACGGCGCGUUAAAGAUAAACGGAAAAACUGACAACAAUUACGCGUUAGCAGCUUAGUUCUGCGCGCGUCGCCGCUCCUGAUUCACCUGUAGGUCAGGAAUCCGGCGUCGACAUACAGGAAAACUUCGCGUGAGUUCCCGGUAGCGCGAGGGAAUUACGGGAUAGCUGAUUCCGCGGAUUGCCGGCGGACCGCGUGAUGAAGCGAAGAAAUAACUACCGGCUGCGCUCGGAGAAAAUCCCGUGAAAACGCUUUCGGACGCGGGUUCGAUUCCCGCCACCUCCACCA
rnacentral:tmRNA from 1 species